AGAGAGAGACAUGCGUGCAUAUCAAUAAGCGGAGGAAAAGAAACUAACAAGGAUUCCCUUAGUAACGGCGAGUGAAGCGGGAAGAGCUCAAAUUUGAAAUCUUCAAGGUUUACCUUGACGAAUUGUAGUUUAAAGAAGUGUUUUCUGCUGAAGUUUUGGUAAAAGUUCUUUGGAAUAGGACAUCAUAGAGGGUGAGAAUCCCGUAUUUGACCAUUAUUUUCAGCUUUGUGAUACACUUUCAAAGAGUCGGAUUGUUUGGGAAUGCAGUCCAAAAUGGGUGGUAAAUUUCAUCUAAAGCUAAAUAUUGGCGAGAGACCGAUAGCGAACAAGUACCGUGAGGGAAAGAUGAAAAGAACUUUGAAAAGAGAGUUAAACAGUACGUGAAAUUGUCAAAAGGGAAGCAUUUGACACCAGUGUUGUUUUCUCGAAAAUCAAUUAAAAAUGGCUCGAUUUUGUAUUGCUGAGACCUUAAAAGCUCACUGUACAUUUUUCGUGUCUUUUUUAAUGCACUUUUCGUUUAACAAGUCAACAUCAGUUUCUUUUGUUGUAAAAGGGUCAUUGGAAGGUGGCUUUCUUUUCGGAGAAAGUGUUUAUAGCCUUUGGCCUCUGCAAUCGAAGAGACUGAGGUCUGCAGCGUAGACUCUUCGGGGUUAGAUACAUUUGUGCUAAGUUAUAGCUUUUUAUAGACAACUUGUUGACUAUAAUUAGUCUUGUAGCUUACUCGCUUAUGCUAUUUUACCUACGCUUAGGAUGUUGAGUCGUAGAGCACGCAG
rnacentral:rRNA from 1 species